GAUGAACGCUGGCGGCGUGCCUAAUACAUGCAAGUCGAGCGAACAGACGAGGAGCUUGCUCGUCUGACGUGAGCGGCGGGCGGGUGAGUAACACGUGGAUAACCUACCUAUAAGACUGGGAUAACUACGGGAAAGCGGAUCUAAUACCGGAGAAGAUAUUGAACCGCAGGGUUCAUUAGUGAAAGACGGUUUUGCUGUCACUAAUAGAUGGAUGCGCGCUGGUUUAGCUAGUUGGUACGGAAACGGCUUCCCAGGGCGCGGAUGCGUAGCCGACCUGGGAGGGUGAUAGUCACCCUUGGACUUAGACACGGGCCCAGCCCCCUACGGGAGGCACCAGUAGGAAUUUUUCCGCAAUGGCCGAAACCUUGACGGAGCAACCCCGCGUGGGUGAUGAAGGCCUCCGGUUCGUAAAACCCUGUUAUUGGGAAAGAACAAAUGUGUAAGUAACUAUGCACGUCUUGACGGUACCUAAGAAGAAAGCCCCGCCUAACUCCGU
rnacentral:rRNA from 1 species